UUUUUUUUUUGAGCCAUCGGUAUAGAUCCCAGCCUUAUAACAGAGCGACACUCAAUACUACUCCCCACUGUCUGAAUCGGGAAAGGCACGAGCAGAAUGGCUCGAGUAAGCUGACUUCCAAGUAUGACCUAACUUUCCUGUUUAAUUUCCCACAACACAGAGUGAUAGUGUUGAGAGAACAGCAUAUAUCUAUCGUUCUUUUUCUUCUCUGUCAUUGAUGAUACCGUACC
rnacentral:lncRNA from 1 species